UAGACUCCUCACGGGUUCUGAUCACUCCACGCCUGAAUGGUUAAAGUGGACCCUGGCAGGUCUCUGGAGUUCUCUCUCUGUGCCCUCCUCCUGCUACUCAGGUCCCAGACCUGUAAACAGAGGAGGUGGCACAGUCCUGAGGCUGCCUGCUGUGUGAUUAAGGGAUCACUGUGGCAACACAGAAGAGACAAUUCUGCUGCCAGGACACCCAAACACGGGGCAUCAACACUUGCCUAGUGGAGAAACAGAGGAGGGAAAAAAUGCAUUUGCUGUGCAUAGUUAACAUGGAAUGUCUGCAUCUGAUCCUCUAAUAUACAUGUAUCAGACUAGGACAAGAGGAUGAACUUCAGAAUGUACCAAAACCUAUAUUCAAACCUGUUCCUGAGCCUCAAUUUUCUCAUCUGUAAACUGCAGACAACAAAUGCUAUCUUGUAGUAGUUACUGGGGGAACAAUUUAUGACAAAAAAGAAAGUUCUUGCUUUCCAAGCCAGUUGCUCUGGGGAAAUCACCGACCCUGUGCGCUAGUCUGCCUCGUGCCCUUGCCCUCACCUGCGGCUCCCUCCCCACCACAUUCAGGACUUGCGUCUCUCCCAAGCUGUGUGUUCACGCUUCCUACCAGCUUUGCCUUGGACUCCGCUCUACCUUUAUUGUGGAGUUUGUUUUGCCGGGCUUCAGGUCGAUUUCUGGGGUGUUUAGGAUAAUUUGAAAAUUAUCUACUUAUAUCCCUGAGAGAAAGUGAGCCUAGGGCCCUCCCACUCCACGGCUGUCCCCUCCGUAAAUCCCACUCGUCUUUCAAAUGCUGAUGUGCCAAAGGAACAAACCCGGGGAAAAUCUUUCUGUCCGUGAUACACGAUGACAUGUUUAGCUCACAUUUCCUUGUCUGUUUGAAAACUGAAUAGUUUAAUGGGAGGGACGAACAGGACAGCACAGAGGUCAUAUAAGGAGAAUUACUCUGUUAAACAGUAUUUUUGAUAGAAAAUCAAAACCAAAAUCAAAAUCCUGACUACAAACGGCAGUCAGGCUUGUUCAAUAGGAUGACGGCCUCUGAGACUCUAGAAGACGUUGGCGAGGGUAGCUUACGGGGGAAAGCAGUCUUCCCACUGAAUGCACCUGAGAACAGAAUGGAUCGUUCCCCAUCAUCGGAGAAGGGAACAAGUCUUCACUGACGUGCACUCAGUACGUCAGACCUGGAGGUCCACAGAGGAGGCCUGUGGGAAGCUCAGCUGUUAAUUUAGGAAUACGUCCAGCUGUUUGGGUUCGUGUAUUUGUCCUCUCUCCUCCGUUCAUUUCAUGGACUUAACCAUCUUUAGAGGACAUUGCCGCAAAGAGAAAGUUAGGUUUCAUGCCUCUGUUGAUGACCGGGCUGAGGCGAGCGGAGCCUCCCCGUCCCAAGGGCGCUGGUGUGCCUCCACCUGCUGGCGCUCCGGCACACUGCAGAGCAAAGUGGAAAGUCCCCCUGCGUGGCUCCUGGAAGAAUCUGUUCCAGGUAGGAACCGUCCACUCGGGAGAGCCUUCUGCCCCAGAAGUGGAAUUGCAUAUUUCUCUGCAUAUUAUCUGGGCUGUGUGUAGGGGCUGCACUUGAUGGACAUCAUCAGAGUUGAGAAGAGGAGGUGGAAGAUGACCAAACUCCACAAUGUCUUACCCGUCACCUGAGCGGAACUCACUAGAACGAACAACGAAUGAAUAUAUGUAUACUGAGUCAACAUGCGGAAGCAGAUAGAAGCAUGUGAGUAGGUCUCGUGCAGACAGUCUCCAUCGAAUUCUUGCUGAGUGCCUGAAACAUUCAGGGCCUACGCAGCAAGGAAGCCCGAGAUGGGAACUAACUCCACGUCAAGCCUUGCUGAGAAACUCGGUGUGAUUCGCCUUUCGAACAUUUGAAGGGACAGCCAGCCAUUUUAGAGACCCGGAGAGCCCAAAGACUGAAACAAAGCACUCCAUCCCUCUUUUGAAAUAAUCAACACGAUGCAAAGAACAUCACGGAUUACGUUUCCUCAUGUAAGAAAAUUGUGUAACAUCCCAAAGCUGAUGUUAAACAAAAUAGUAAGAAUUCAGGAUCUGAUUUUCAGUUUUAAAAAAGAAUUGAAAUGUCAUCUGAUCCUGAAAUGUCAGCUCACUCCAGAAUUUCCUCUGCAGACUCAACACUCAGAUACUUUCUGGCUCAUAGUUGCAGAGAAUAUUCCUGGAGACAGCUCGGUUAGAAAGUUCUUGCUAAUUUUGAUUCGACUCCAUCUUGCUGUAACUCUGUCUGUUCUAAGCCUUCAGAAGCAGCGACAUAUUUACAAGCUUGGUGCCCCUGAUACCAUCAUAUUAGAAGCCGUUGAGGAUGGUAAGACAUCCUGAGCAGCCUCCUGCCUCUGCCCGGGACGUUUAAGACACCCUGAUGUCCAAAUGUAAGUGGGGAUUCGGACAGUUGUUGGGCUUUGCUCCGACACCACGGUGUCCAUGAAGCCAGGAUGCUUCAGCUCCAGCGGUGCUGGGGAGGAAGCAAGCCUACGGAGACCAUCCCGGCAUGGCUGCUUGGACCCGCAGGUCGUCUAAGCCGAUCGCCCUCUCUUUUCUGCUAAACCGCACUGUAUCACUCUUACAUUGCCACAGAACAUGGGGCUUCUUAACUGUUUUGUUGCUGCCAUCUUCCCAAAAUUGAAUUCUUAAAAUUAAGUCUCUUCAAUUGAAAUAAAAGGAAGCGAUUUCAUUUGGGGGAUCAUUAGACAGCUUGGGAGGAAAAGAAAAAAAAAAUCAACCACCAAAUACUUGAAGGAGACAUGAGUAUAGGAAAAGGGAAAUACUAAGUGAAUAUAAUGACCUCUUUAGAUUUAAGAAAAGGAAACAAAAUUGCUCAUUUUCCCUUUAUUUUACCUUUAAGAUUU